UUUCCAGACUCCUACGGGAGGCAGCAGUGGGGAAUAUUGCACAAUGGGCGAAAGCCUGAUGCAGCGACGCCGCGUGAGUGAAGAAGUAUUUCGGUAUGUAAAGCUCUAUCAGCAGGGAAGAAAAUGACGGUACCUGACUAAGAAGCCCCGGCUAACUACGUGCCAGCAGCCGCGGUAAUACGGAGGAUGCGAGCGUUAUCCGGAUUUAUUGGGUUUAAAGGGUGCGUAGGCGGGCUGUUAAGUCAGCGGUCAAAUGUCGGGGCUCAACCCCGGCCUGCCGUUGAAACUGGCGGCCUCGAGUGGGCGAGAAGUAUGCGGGAUGCGUGGUGUAGCGGUGAAAUGCAUAGAUAUCACGCAGAACUCCGAUUGCGAAGGCAGCAUACCGGCGCCCGACUGACGCUGAGGCACGAAAGCGUGGGUAUCGAACAGGAUUAGAUACCCCAGUAGAU
rnacentral:rRNA from 1 species